AGCUGGUCUCAGUUCGGAUCGGGGUCUGCAACUCGACCCCGUGAAGUCGGAGUCGCUAGUAAUCGCAGAUCAGCAACGCUGCGGUGAAUACGUUCCCGGGCCUUGUACACACCGCCCGUCACGUCAUGAAAGUCGGUAACACCCGAAGCCGGUGGCUUAACCCCUUGUGGGAGGGAGCCGUCGAAGGUGGGAUCGGCGAUUGGGACGAAGUCGUAACAAGGUAGCCGUACCGGAAGGUGCGGCUGGAUCACCUCCUUUCUAAGGAG
rnacentral:rRNA from 1 species